rnacentral:rRNA from 1 species
CCCUUAGAUGUUCUGGGCCGCACGCGCGCUACACUGAUGUAUUCAACGAGUCUAAAACCUGCUCUGAUAGGGGUGGGUAAUCUUUUGAAUGUGCAUCGUGAUUGGGAUAGAUGAUUGCAAUUUUUCAUCUUCAACGAGGAAUGCCUAGUAAACGCAAGUCAUCAGCUUGCAUUGAUUACGUUCCUGCCCUUUGUACACACCGCCCGUCGCUCCUACCGAUUGAAUGAUCCGAUGAAUAUCAUGGAUUGAGGAUGCAAGUAGGUUAGCCUAUCUUCAUCUUCGAGAAGUGAAGUAAAUCUUAUCAUUUAGAGGAAGGAGAAGUCGUAACA